GACGAACGCUGGCGGCGUGCUUAGCACAUGCAAGUCGAACGGAAAGGCCCUGCUUUUGUGGGGUGCUCGAGUGGCGAACGGGUGAGUAACACGUGAGUAACCUGCCCUUGACUUUGGGAUAACUUCAGGAAACUGGGGCUAAUACCGGAUAGGAGCUCCUGCUGCAUGGUGGGGGUUGGAAAGUUUCGGCGGUUGGGGAUGGACUCGCGGCUUAUCAGCUUGUUGGUGGGGUAGUGGCUUACCAAGGCUUUGACGGGUAGCCGGCCUGAGAGGGUGACCGGCCACAUUGGGACUGAGAUACGGCCCAGACUCCUACGGGAGGCAGCAGUGGGGAAUAUUGCACAAUGGGCGGAAGCCUGAUGCAGCAACGCCGCGUGCGGGAUGACGGCCUUCGGGUUGUAAACCGCUUUCGCCUGUGACGAAGCGUGAGUGACGGUAAUGGGUAAAGGAGCACCGGCUAACUACGUG
rnacentral:rRNA from 1 species